UAACUCGGCCAUCACACGUGUUUAUGUCUCCAUCUUCAGGAACCUGCUGCUGAAUAUCAGCCUUGUUAUCAUACUGUGUUACCACUGGCUUGGAAAAAUUGUUGUGGAACAAGACCCUCAAGUUUCAAAGUGCUGGGAGAAUUUUG